rnacentral:rRNA from 1 species
GACGAACGCUGGCGGCGUGCUUAACACAUGCAAGUCGAGCGGUAAGGCCCUUUCGGGGGUACACGAGCGGCGAACGGGUGAGUAACACGUGGGUGACCUGCCCUCAGCUCUGGGAUAAGCCUGGGAAACCGGGUCUAAUACUGGAUAUGACUCCAUGACGCAUGUUGUGGGGUGGAAAGCCUUGUGCGGCUGAGGAUGGGCCCGCGGCCUAUCAGCUUGUUGGUGGGGNGAUGGCCUACCAAGGCGACGACGGGUAGCCGGCCUGAGAGGGCGACCGGCCACACUGGGACUGAGACACGGCCCAGACUCCUACGGGAGGCAGCAGUGGGGAAUCUUGCGCAAUGGGCGAAAGCCUGACGCAGCGACGCCGCGUGAGGGAUGACGGCCGU